rnacentral:rRNA from 1 species
UCGGGAAUUUUGGGCAAUGGGCGAAAGCCUGACCCAGCAACGCUGCGUGAGGGAUGAAGUAUUUCGGUAUGUAAACCUCGAAAGAAUGGGAAGAAUAAAUGACGGUACCGUUUAUAAGCUCCGGCUAACUACGUGCCUGCAGCCGCGGUAAUACGUAGGGAGCAAGCGUUGUUCGGAUUUACUGGGCGUAAAGGGCGCGUAGGCGGCGCGGUAAGUCACUUGUGAAAUCUCUGAGCUUAACUCAGAACGGCCAAGUGAUACUGCUGUGCUAGAGUGCGGAAGAGGCAACCGGAAUUCUUGGUGUAGCGGUGAAAUGCGUAGAUAUCAAGAGGAACACCUGAGGCGAAGGCGGGUUGCUGGGCCGACACUGACGCUGAUGCGCGAAAGCCAGGGGAGCAAACG